rnacentral:lncRNA from 1 species
UGUUUACUUUUAUUAACACCUUUUAAUCAUUAAGGUGCUUUAUACUAAGAUAUUGACUUUGGUUGUGAGCAGUUCUUCUGGCUGAAUUGAUUUAUGAUACACUCUGUUGCUAUCCAGACAGUUUCCAGUGAAAUGACAAAGAAGUUCUGCUUCCAUACCCAACUAAUCAAUGGAAAGCAAAGCAAGACCAGACAAAACAAAACCUUUUAUAUAAAGUGACUGGAUAUUAAAUGUCAUGUUGUAUAUGCUAUGUGUGAAAAUAAAGAGCAGACAUACAUAUCUUGUUAAUCGAUAUUGCUAUUUGCUUUCCAAAGAUAAAUUUAUAUCUAGUACAGAGACUAUUAAAACUGUUGUUGCAUUGAAUGGUUUGUUUAAAAAUAAAUAAAUGCCCAUACAUGUUAUGUGAGUGUUAAUAUUUCUGCUUACAGCAUUAAUAUUUGUGAGAAUAUAGACAUUCAAACAUUUAAAUUAUUAAACAUUUAAAUUAGUAAUUGACUAAAUGAAAUUAAUAUUCUGGUAGAAAAAUGCCUAAUACAACAAAUUCUUUUGACAAAUUAAAGAAGACCAUGGAAUACAUUCAGAUUUCUCAAUUAAUUGAGAAAUUACUGUUUCUUAUAAUAUAUUACAGAUUAAAUAAUACAUUUUUACAAACUAUUUUCACUCUAUCUUAAAAUUACAUUCAUAUACUUCCAAUUGCAUUUGUUUUGAAGUAUCAUAAAUAUCACAAUGCAUGGAAUAUAAUACAAGAAACUAUCAUAUAUUAUCUGCAUAUUCCUAAACACUUAGUAGUGUGGGGCAUUGUGCUCAGAAAGUAAAACCUGUGGAAGUUGGAGACGUACAAGCCAAGGAGUUAUAGAAAGGUAGAGUGAGGACCGAUAUUAAUGGAUCUUGCAUGCCAUAAUAAGCCCUAAAGAAAUAUUGAUUAAUUUAAAAAGAAAAUAAGUGACAUAUCUGUAUUUGUUUGAGCAAGAUACCUAGGUACAGUGUGGAGACGGAAAAGGCUGUAGAUAAAUAGAAUAUUAUUCCUGUGAUACAAAUAGUAUAAGAAAAAUAUCUGAUAGGAGUGGUGACUGGACAGAGAAUGAAAAGGGAAUAUAUUUGUGAGGCAUUUUGAAUAGAAUGUUAUAACUUGGUUACUGAUGGAACAUGGGUGGCAAGAUAGAGGAAUGAGUUGAGAAUGUUUCUCAUAUUUCUAGCUCACAGAUUAUCUAAUGUGAGCAUUACAUUUAUUUAAUCUUUGUAUUAAUAUCAGUACAAUGUACCUUAUUAAUUUUUAAUUUAUUUAAUAACAAUGUUGAAUAUGUUUUAAUUUUAUACACAUUUGGCAAAAC